CAUGGAGGCGUUGACCCCGGUGAUGAUGGUGGACAUGGUCAGCACUGUGGUGAUACCUGAAGAGAAGACGACAAACACUGUGACGGCGGGUUCCUGUGUGAAAUGGCUGAGAACCAACAUGAGACAUGAUGUUUGAAUUCAGCUACUCUGAAUCUGGAUGAAAAUGUGAACUACCCAUCAUCAUCAUCGUCAUCAUCAUCAUCAUCGUCAUCAUCAUCAUCAUCAUCGUACGGUCUCUACCUGCCAGUGUUCUCUACAUGCUGCUCUUUAUUCACCGUGAAGUUUUACAUGAGACGGACUUCAAAGUAAAGCGGCAGAAAGUCCUAAAACUUUAAUGCGCAGCAGAUCUGGGGUUUCAGGGAAUAUCUGGUAUGCAAAGCGGACAUGUCAGUCUCAGCAGGGGGCAAGAAGAAAGCUCCUGAAGAGUGAUGAUACUAAAAAUGACUGUCAGGCAACACCAUGUGUGGAAAGGAAAUCGACAGGAAUACUCUGGAGUCGGGUGGAAAUC